UCGGCGCCAUUUUGUCUGGGCAGCGGUGGACGCAGGUCUACCGCAUUUUAUGUUUCUGGCGAGACGAGAGCGGAAUCUUCAUCCCGUGGAUUCAUUUAACUGCGGCAACCAUCCACCGUUCCCUCCAGGACAGCACCUAGUGAAGAUCGGAAGAGUAGCGAUCUGUCAGAAAGGUCAGUUGGAAGCGGUAGUUGUCCGGUGGACUGGGGGAUGGCGCAGCUCUAGCGGCACCGGCACCGGAAGUGAGGGGGCCGCGCGGCAGCCAUAGCAGAUUGGUCUGAAGAAAACAGGACAGUUAAGUGACAAACAUCCGGAAGUAUUACUGAGCUCCCUGGCUCUUUGUCCACCCUCAUGUUGGAAAUGGUGAGAGAACUGAUGCUGAAUCAUAAGUAUGAUCCAUUGUAGACAUCUAAAUUUUUGCAUUGAAUCUUUACUAUCACUUGGUUGCUGCUGACUCUUAAACCAGUUGGUCUGCUAAAGGUUCCUUUGAGAAUGAUAGAAAUGAAAGCAAAUGGAUAGUCUUAUCAGAUAAGUGCUUUUUUAUCUGAAUGUAUUCGGUUUUUUCCAUAAGAUGGCUUUAGUAGCACUUAGUUGUCUUUAACUUCAUUCGAAACAAUUUUGUUAGAUUGUAUUGUGACAGCUGUCAUAUCAGCGUGCAUUUUUAAAAAAAACAUCAAAAUUGGUGAAUUUUUGUGUAGCCAUUUUAAUAUUGAAGAUGGAAGGAAAAAAAGCAACAACAACAUAUUAUGCUUUAUUAUUUCAAGAAAGGUAAAACACAACUGAAAGGCAAAAGAAGAUUUGUGCAGUGUAUGGAAAAGGUGCUGUGACUGAACGUGUCAAAAGUGGUUUGCAAAGUUUUGUGGUAGAGAUUUCUGGCUGGGCGAUGCUCCAUGGUCGGGGAGACCAGUUCAAGUUGAUAGCAAUCAAAUCGAGACGUAAAUUUCAGAACAAUCAACGCAGGGGAUAAGCCGACACACUCAAAAUCUCCAAAUCAGGUGUUGAAAAUCAUUUGCACCAGCUUGGUUAUGUUAAUCGCUUUGAUGUUUGGGUUCCACGUAAGUUAAGCGAAAGAAACCUUGACCAUAUUUCCGCAUUGCAAUUCUCUACUUAAACGUAACGAAAACAUUCCGUUUUUAAAAACAAAUUGUGACGGGCAAUGAAAAUUGGAUACUUUACAAUAAUGUGGAAUAGAAGAGAUGUUACAGAAGAACCCGAACUUUUUUGGCCAACCCAAUUAUUAUUUGUAAUCUCUAAACCAAAAUUUUAUUCUUUAAAACGUUUGUAAUUUUUUUUCCUAGGUACCAGUAUCGAGGUUUACAGUAAUAAGGUAUUAAGUCUUUGCUGAAAAUAAAUUUGUAAUCUUGUCAAAGUAAAAUGUGCCAGCCAUUUUUUCCCCCCCGAGGCUAAUCAUGCCUCAGUGGUGCAGUUACGAAGUGCCCCUACAGUUGAACCUAGAUUAUUUAUUAAUCCUUUGUAUAGGUAUGAAAAUCAAUUGCUUUUCUUUUAUAAUAGCUGAAAAGCUUAGUUUUAGAUUUAUCUGAUAUAUGUUUUUGAGGUGGCUUAGCUGCUCAGAUUUAAGUUUGUUUAGAACCAUUGUCUGUUCUUUUAAAGAGGAUUAUUAGCUAUUCCAAUGUGAAUUUAAGAACAGAUGUACCCACAGUACAAUGAAAAUAGAAGAUUCAUGAGCCAUUCAUACUUUGGAAGUUGGAAAAGUAUAGAAUGGUCAGACUGGCUUAGGGAUACUCAGCUUAUUAUCCAUCCAGCUUAAGUUGUUUAGGUGUCUGCCCAAGGCCACUGGUGUCAUUCUGAGUUAAAUAUGUGAGUUGUAAGAUGUAGCAGGUAAUUUUACAUAAAAGCAGCCAUGGUAAUGAGAUACUGGUUUUGAGUUGUUUGUAUAGUAGUUAAGUAUUCUGGUAUAAUGAUUUGCUGUUUAAACUGUACAGAUGCUCAAAGUCCGGCAACACCCUGCUGCUAAACUCAGUGACCUCAGGAAAGCAUGACAGUGAAUGGUGUGAUACUGGCAUGAGGCCAAUAAAGGGUGUGUGUAUACCUGGCAUGCUUGGCUAACAGUGGCUGAUGAUCAACAGUCAUCUCACUAAAUACAAAACUGGGCAGUGGCAUCAAUUGCCUACGAAGUUGGUAGGUACUUUUUACACAACAGCCCAGCAGGAUAUGAUCUUUAGGUUAUAGAUGAGUGAAGAAAUGGAGUUUUGAAUUUAUCUGAUUCCAAAGCAUCUGUCUGCAGUAUUUUAACUAAGGAAUUUUACAACAGGCAUAAAGCAACAUCCUAAUGCUGAAUAAAAUAUGUGCUCAGCUACCCCCACCAAUUUUGUCAAGCAGAUAUUAACCAAACUUCAGUCGUUACAAGACAAAGAUUUAAUGAAAGUUGGUCAGUGGGUAUGUAUUAAUCCGAAGGGCUAAAUAGUUAAAUAGAAGUAAAUGAAGUAAAUGUUACAUGUUAUCAUCAUCUGAUUCGUCUUCUUCCUUCAAAGAUUCCUAUUAAAGAGAAAAGUGUUUAAAAUCAAUUUUUAGCA